rfam:Puccinia graminis f. sp. tritici CRL 75-36-700-3 supercont2.30 genomic scaffold, whole genome shotgun sequence.
GCAUCUGUAGCCUAGUUGGUAAAGGAAGCACUCUUGUAUGUGACUCAGCAUUGCUGAGGUUGUGAGUUCAAAUCUCACCAGGCACA